rnacentral:tRNA from 1 species
ACUAUUUUGGCAGAUAAGUGCGAUUGAUUUAGAAUCUUUAUAUGUAGGUUAUACUAUAAAUAGUA